rnacentral:rRNA from 1 species
AUUGAACGCUGGCGGCAUGCCUUACACAUGCCAGUCGAACGGCAGCACGGGUGCUUGCACCUGGUGGCGAGUGGCGAACGGGUGAGUAAUACAUCGGAACAUGUCCUGUAGUGGGGGAUAGCCCGGCGAAAGCCGGAUUAAUACCGCAUACGAUCUACGGAUGACAGCGGGGGACCUUCGGGCCUCGCGCUAUAGGGUUGGCCGAUGGCUGAUUAGCUAGUUGGUGGGGUAAAGGCCUACCAAGGCGACGAUCAGUAGCUGGUCUGAGAGGACGACCAGCCACACUGGGACUGAGACACGGCCCAGACUCCUACGGGAGGCAGCAGUGGGGAAUUUUGGACAAUGGGCGAAAGCCUGAUCCAGCAAUGCCGCGUGUGUGAAGAAGGCCUUCGGGUUGUAAAGCACUUUUGUCCGGAAAGAAAUCCUUGGCCCUAAUACGGUCGGGGGAUGACGGUACCGGAAGAAUAAGCACCGGCUAACUACGUG